UACGAAGGGUGCUAGCGUUAUUCGGAAUCACUGGGCGUAAAGAGCGUGUAGGCGGCUUGUUAAGUCAACUGUUAAAGCACCCAGCUUAACUGGGUAAAGGCAGGUGAAACUGGCGAGCUGGAGUACGGAAGAGAGAAGUGGAAUUGUCGGAGUAGCGGUAAAAUGCGUAGAUCUCGACAGGAACACCGGUUGCGAAGGCGGCUUCUUGGUCCGCUACUGACGCUAAAGCGCGAAAGCGUGGGGAGCAAACAGGAUUAGAUACCCUGGUAGUCCACGCCGUAAACGAUGAUCACUAGAUGUCGGGUUGGCAUAGCCGAUUCGGUGUCGUAGCUAACGCGUUAAGUGAUCCGCCUGGGAAUUACGGUCGCAAGAUUA
rnacentral:rRNA from 1 species